rnacentral:tRNA from 1 species
GGAGAGGUGUCCGAGCUGGUCGAAGGAGCACGAUUGGAAAUCGUGUACACGGCAACGUGUCGAGGGUUCGAAUCCCUCCCUCUCCGCCA